AUCAGCAAGUAUGCUUACUCAGAAAUAAGUAUUUAUUCUCUUGAAACCUGAGAGCCUCCCAUAAACAGAAAGAAUAAAAUUGUAAGCUCCAAACACCUUGGCAUGUUCCACGAUGGAAUGCAAAGAGCAAACAUGGAACCCGGCUCAAUCUUAAAGAUAACAUCUUUCAGAUGGAACUAUUUCUCUCACUGAUAUCAAAUGAAUUUCCAAUGUGAAAUUGACACCCUGAGUUUUAUUUAAAGAAGGAGGAAACUGUACUAGCAUAUCCAAGAAGAACUGGCGCAGAUAUGUGACUUUGU
rnacentral:lncRNA from 1 species